ACGUAGGGGGCAAGCGUUAUCCGGAAUUAUUGGGCGUAAAGAGUGCGUAGGUGGUUUUUUAAGCGUGAGGUGAAAGGCAAUAGCUUAACUAUUGUAAGCCUUGCGAACUGGAAGACUUGAGUGCAGGAGAGGAAAGUGGAAUUCCUAGUGGGCGUUUUUAAGGAGUACAUAUUAGGAGGAGCACCGGUGGCGAAGGGGACAAUCUGGAUUGUAACCGCGUCUGCUGCGGUAAAGCGUGUAAAGCAAUGAG
rnacentral:rRNA from 1 species